rnacentral:rRNA from 1 species
GACGAACGCUGGCGGCAUGCCUAACACAUGCAAGUCGAACGAGACCUUCGGGUCUAGUGGCGCACGGGUGCGUACGGCGUGGGAACCUGCCCUUAGGUUAGGAGUAACUCACCGAAGGGGGUGCUAAUACCGGUUAAUGUAUUAGGGCCAAAGAUUUCUCGCCUUUGGAUGGGCCCGCGUUGGUUUCGCUAGUUGGUAGGGUAAACGCCUACCAAGGCGACGUUCCAUAGCUGGUCUGAGAGGAUGAUCAGCCCCACUGGGACGGAGACACGGCCCAGAUUCCUGCGGGAGGCGGCAGGGGUGAAGAUUGGACGAUGGGCGAAAGCCUGAGCCAGCAAGGCCGCGUGAGUGAUGAAUGCCGUUGGGUUGUAAAGUUCGUUUACCCGGGAGGGUGAGGACAGUACCUGGAGAAUAAGCUCCGGCCAACCCCGUGC